rnacentral:rRNA from 1 species
UACGUAGGGUGCGAGCGUUGUCCGGAAUUAUUGGGCGUAAAGAGCUUGUAGGCGGUUUGUCGCGUCUGCUGUGAAAAUCCGGGGCUCAACCCCGGACUUGCAGUGGGUACGGGCAGACUAGAGUGUGGUAGGGGAGACUGGAAUUCCUGGUGUAGCGGUGAAAUGCGCAGAUAUCAGGAGGAACACCGAUGGCGAAGGCAGGUCUCUGGGCCACUACUGACGCU